AAACAUGAAUAAAUGGCGAAAACAAUAUAAUUAUAACAUAUAUUUUUAUUUUACUUAUUUUAGGUCUGUGAAGCCAAACUUGAUGCUGGGGAUUUAUUUUUGUCAGUGGAGUCAAAUGGUUGAAGCAGAAUUUGCCCGUCUUACAUCUGUUGACCUGAAAGGGUUCCUUUUUGCUGUGCUUGACCAUUAUGGAGAGGUUCGUGGAGCUGUAGAAAAUCAAGAGCGGCAUAGGAGGGCUAACUAGGCUCAUAAGAUGCUUUGGUGAUGAUAGCCCUACACAAAGGAAGAGGACAGAGGACCUCAUUUUCUAAAGGAAGAUCCCUCACACACUUUCAAGAUUGUGAAGCCGACAGGUAUUGAAGACACGUUUUCUAAGAGGAUGAAAGUUGGCAUUGCGAUGGUGAAAGAAGAAGACAUCAUCGAUGUGUUGGUUGUCCUUGAGGUGGCAG
ensembl:lncRNA